rnacentral:rRNA from 1 species
GCCCUGCCGUAAACUUAGAUACUUCCCCACAACAAGUAUCCGCCUGGGCACUACGAGCGCCAGCUUAAAACCCAAAGGACUUGGCGGUGCUUCAGACCCCCCUAGAGGAGCCUGUUCUAGAACCGAUAACCCCCGUUCAACCUCACUACUCCUUGCUUUUCCCGCCUAUAUACCGCCGUCGCCAGCUUACCCUGUGAAGGAGUCACAGUAAGCAGGAUGGGCAAUGCCCAGAACGUCAGGUCGAGGUGUAGCGUACGGAGUAGGAAGAAAUGGGCUACAUUAUCUGAAGCAGAUUAAAUAACGAAGAGUUACCUGAAACCGGUGACUUGAAGGUGGAUUUAGCAGUAAGGGGAGAAUAGAGCGCCCCCCUGAAGCCGGCUCUGAAGCGCGCACACACCGCCCGUCACUCUCCCCAACAACAUCUAUACAUGGUAUAUAACACAGCAAAAGCUACAAGGGGAGGCAAGUCGUAACAUGGUAAGUGUACCGGAAGGUGCACUUGGAAUAAC